rnacentral:rRNA from 1 species
UUUAAAUGUAAAUUUUUGAACUAAAUUAGUAAUAGAUAUGAUCUUCAAAUUUAAAGAUUUUGGCGGUAUUUUAGUCUAUUCAGAGGAACCUGUCCCAUAAUUGAUAAUCCACGAUUAACUUUACUUAAUUUUAAAAAUUUGUAUAUCGUUGUUUAUAGAAAAUUUUAUAAGAAAAAUAAUUUUUAAUAAAUUUUAUUAAAUUAUAAAUCAAAUCAAGGUGCAGUUUAUAGUUAAGUUGGAGAUGGGUUACAAUAAAUUUAUUUAUUAAUGAAUAUAAAUUUUAAAAUUUUUAUUGAAGGUGGAUUUGAUUGUAAUAUUAUUAAAUUAAAUAGUAUGAUUUUAGCUCUAAAAUAUGU